UACGUGGGGGGCAAGCGUUGUUCGGAAUUACUGGGCGUAAAGGGCUCGUAGGUGGCCAACUAAGUCAGACGUGAAAUCCCUCGGCUUAACCGGGGAACUGCGUCUGAUACUGGAUGGCUUGAGGUUGGGAGAGGGAUGCGGAGUUCCAGGUGUAGCGGUGAAAUGCGUAGAUAUCUGGAGGAACACCGGUGGCGAAGGCGGCAUCCUGGACCAAUUCUGACACUGAGGAGCGAAAGCCAGGGGAGCAAACGGG
rnacentral:rRNA from 1 species